UACGUAGGGUGCAAGCGUUUAAUCGGAAUUACUGGGCGUAAAGCGUGCGCAGGCGGUUAUGUAAGACAGGUGUGAAAUCCCCGGGCUUAACCUGGGAACUGCAUUUGUGACUGCAUAGCUAGAGUACGGUAGAGGGGGGAUGGAAUUCCGCGUGUAGCAGUGAAAUGCGUAGAUAUGCGGAGGAACACCAGUGGCGAAGGCGACACGCUGGGCCGUACCUGACACUGAUGCGCGACAGCAUGGGGAGCAAACAGG
rnacentral:rRNA from 1 species